GGCAUGGACUCUUGGCUUGGCCGCUUGGCUUCUUUUGUUUCGUCCUCUGUGCAUCGUACAUCAGCGAACAGCUGUUAUGUUGUUGCUAAGCCGGAAACAAAGCAUGUGAAUAUUUUUUUUUUUUUUGGCACGGCGUCGUUUGGAAAGUGCACUUCCUUGUUCUGACCUUGCCUUUUAUGGGCUGGAGCGAUAUGAUACGUGAUAUGCCACGGCGAAGUUGUCGAAGAUGCGACGAUGCUACGCUGUUAGAACAAUUCAUCGGAACAUUCAAGUGUUACCUAUUAUAAGCUGCCAAAAGACUAAGCAGUGCGAAGCUCUUGCCUGACAGUGGUGCCUGCUAAUUUCCACUGCAAGGAUUUUGUCCACGAAUGUUAUCAUAGGUUACGCGCGACUCCAGAGGCAAUUUGGAAUCUUCUGAACUCGUCUGAUGAAAAUCUGAGGUGCCCGACACACAACAUUUUGAACGUGUCACGGAGGAUCAAGGCAAACAACGAGAGCAAAAAAGGUGCACGCUGAAGGCGGAAAUGAAGCACGAUCUGGCUUGCAUCUGGUGCAUGAAGAAAUUGCUGACACGUUAGUUGCAGUCUACCUCCACCAACAGGGUGGAAAACAAAGGUCGCCAUUCCGAUUAGCUGCUAUCUCCCAGUUCAAGCACUUUUGCUGUCUGGACACUGGUUCCUGUGGAUGGGGUGUUACAAGCUUCACUGUCUGAUAUAGAAGUGAUGAGCAUCCAUAAGGACACAUGCCAGAGAGGGAGUCUCCUUGGGAUGACAAACCCUCAUCACCUCAUGAGGAUACAAUGGUUGACGAAUGAUUCUCAAGCACAUUGAAACUUCAACAAAUAAUUCAUGAAAAAGCCAUUCAGUGCUAGCACCAGGAAUUGAACGUGGACCGUCCUGCUACCAGUCAGAGAUGUUACAUUUCAGGCGCUCAUUGACUUUUGGUGAAUUACUUGUUGACUUUGUCCCAAGGUGGGGCUCGCCACAGCUCAUUUGCCUAUCUGUUAAUGUUGUGGCGUGUGUUGCGUUUUUCUCUUUGUGUGUUCCAGACUCAGAACGGUUAAUUUGGAUCAGGUCAUGUACGUUUCAUUUAGACAUGGCAAACAUAAAGUGGUGUUUCUCAACACAACUUAGCAGUGGCAUUCAUGCAUUACUGCUACGGCCAUUAAGCGUGAAUGGAAAGCUGCACAUUAUGCAUGAUGUAAUACCCCAAGACUAGGGAACACGAAGGGACAGACACAAACACGCCCCUUUGUGUUCCCUAGUCUCGGGGUUUUACACAUGCAUCAUCUCCACCAGCUCGCUUGCUUCCUAGCCAUUUUUUCUGCACAUUAUGUUCAUUCUACUUUUAUCGUGUGCUAUAUAAUCUUGUUCCAAGUUCUGUCAAACGACGUGUAAUGCUAUAAAAAAAUUCAGUACACUGUUUAUGUGGGUUGAAUGGUAGCGCAUGAAUGCAGGAAGGAAACUGUCAUGUUAUGGCAAGUGUUUACAUAUUGUACAUUUAACUAUAAUUUUAUUUCUUAGCUUUCGCCGGCGUAUCAUUUCAAGCCAUGUUUUAUUAAUUUGGAACAUGUUCUUCUUAGUAGCCAGAGCAGCUGAUACACAGUGAGAACAUAGCCCGUGUGUGUUUGUCUUUUCCACAGCAGCCCUUGGGUUUCUUCCCUGAUGGCUACACAUAUCAGGGAUAGGUUUCAGAACCGGCAGUUCCCGCCAAGUGUGAAUUGCUUUUCAGGGGAUCAUCACGCUGGCAGAUGAAACGUAUGGUUUAAAUUAUUUGCAGGACAGGAAUUGCGUAGCUUCACACAAAUACUACUACUACGACGUAAGAGUGGUUUCAAAUCUAGCUUUUUUGUGUUCCUGACAUUAUCGCACAAGAUGUAAGCACUUUCCUUGUUGACAACAAUAUUUGCACCAGGUCACGACAUUGCUGAUUGAUGGAAAAUGUAAAUAAAUAUAUGUA